rnacentral:tRNA from 1 species
ACCUGGUUGGUUCAGUCGGUACAGCAUGAGACUCUUGAUCUCAGGGUCAUGAGUUCAAGUCUCACAUGGGGCA